UACGGGGGGAGCAAGCGUUGUUCGGAUUUACUGGGCGUAAAGGGCGCGUAGGCGGUCAGCACAAGUCAGUUGUGAAAUCUCCGGGCUUAACUCGGAACGGUCAAGUGAUACUGUCGCGCUAGAGUGCGGAAGGGGCAAUCAGAAUUCUUGGUGUAGCGGUGAAAUGCGUAGAUAUCAAGAGGAAUACCUGAGGUGAAGACGGGUUGCUAGGCCGACACUGACGCUGAAGCGCGAAAGCCAGGGGAGCAAACGGG
rnacentral:rRNA from 1 species